UACAGAGGGUGCAAGCGUUAAUCGGAAUUACUGGGCGUAAAGCGUGCGUAGUCGGUUAUUUAAGUCGGAUGUGAAAUCCCCGGGCUCAACCUGGGAAUUGCAUUCGAUACUGGAUGGCUAGAGUUCGGCAGAGGGAAGCGGAAUUUCGGGUGUAGCGGUGAAAUGCGUAGAUAUCCGAAGGAACAUCAGUGGCGAAAGCGGCUUCCUGGACCAGAACUGACGAUCAGGCACGAAAGCGUGGGGAGCAAACAGG
rnacentral:rRNA from 1 species